rnacentral:rRNA from 1 species
AUGGCGACGGGCGACACGGAGAAGGAGGAGGCGGCGGCCAGCGCCUGCACCCUGUACCGAUGCAUCUGCUGCUGGCAUCGUCUCUGCUCUCCCCGUAUCCCGCGCGUCGUCCCCGGCAGGGACUUCGUCUGCAUCCCGGCUGGCGCGGAUGACAGCCCCGCGUGGUCGCUGCUCGUCGGCCUCCUCUCCGCAUCCAUCCCUAUGAUCUUCGAAGACAGCCUCCUAGGCCUGCACCGGUUCCGCGUCGCGCGAUCCGGUCGAAUCCUCGGCCGGAGCGACGAUGCCCUCGACACCCUGUGCACCGUCGAAACCACCAAGGGCUGCAGCGGCAUCGCCAGCGCUACCGCCGCGCUGACCCCCGACGGCCGCUCGCUAUGCCUCUUCUCCGAGCAUCUGGAUCCCGGCAAGUACUCGGCGACCCCACGAGCCCAGCAGCUGCGGCUCGCCCAAGAAGCCACCGCCAUGUCCGAGCUGCCUCGCCUGCCGCAGGACACUUGCAUGCAUUGCCGCCCCGUCUCGGCCGCCGGCCACCUCUGGGCUCCAUACGUCUACUUGGAGUAUGUAGGCAAGUGCGUCCUCGGGAUGCAACGCUUCCGCAAGGACGCUGACCGGUGGGAGCAGGCCGGGGACACCUUCCCCUUCCACUACAAGAGCCAAAUGACCAAACUGUGGAAUGGCGACUUCUUGCAGGGAUGCGCCGUUCUCCCCGACGACACCAUCUUGGUGUCGCUGCGACCAGCUCAGGGCGUCUUCUUAACCUUCAAUUGCUCCGAUUGCACCUGGACCGUGGUCACCACCUCAGAGAACACACAGACGGCCUACGUUCCCAUCCUGGGCCCUGGUGUGUACAUACAAGGAGAUGAUGAGAAAGAUGAUGGCGGCGCCGUCUACUUCCUCGUGACAAUCGCGUCUAUGCCUACAAGCUGCGCUAUUUACCAGGACCAGGAGGAUCAGCGAAGAAAGCUCAAGCUGGAGCCGCCUACCACUAUCGACUCUGACUGUCCUUUCUACGAUGAAGGCUAUGGUUUCCUCGCGCACCUGGGCGGUCGACUCAUGUGCUCCGUCUGGAUCGGGGUGGACCUCCAGUGCUCAUGUGACCAUCUGCACGCCAUCAUCUCCACCUUCAGAGUUAGACCAACCAGCGCUCGGCAGAAAGGCAUCGAUAUACUGCAUUCCACCUGCCGCCUCUUGGAUGUGCUCUCUGUUGGACUACAACCGACCCAUGAAUUCUGCUUCCUACAGGAGUAUGAGGACCAGAAUGGCAUGCCGCCUGCAAUGCUGGAGUAUCCAACCAGCUCUCCCGUCAUAGAAUCCUCCAAGAUGCUUGAUUGUUGCAGCAAUUUUCUAUCUGUAAAGCCGGGACAUUACGAGUUUGAGGAGCCUCCUGAGGACCCAGCAGUCCAGAUCAACAAGGACCUAUAUAUUAUUUGCGAAGCUCACUUGCAGACAAUUGUGUAUGUUGCCAAAAUAGAGAACGGAAGGGUUGGAUCUCAUGAUAAACUACUCACGCAAAAGCAUGCUCUGGUCUUAUCUUACGACACUGAUGAUUAUUACCUUGUUCGGUAUCGGUCUCCCCCGUGGCACCUCAUCUUCAGCAGCCGCAGCUCCGGUGUAUAUGCUGUCUCUAACACACAAGAUGGCAUAGAUGCAUACGGUCCAACUGAGGAGUCCAAGUUGUUUCCAUGCACGGAAACUCCUGCUCCUGACCCUUUCUCUAUGGUUCUUGAGGUUGGUAACAGGAUCGUCGCGCUGAGCGAGACUCUCGGUGUUUCCUACCACGAUGGAUCCAAAUGGGUGUGUUGCAGGCACCGCGCAGAUGAAUCUCUUGCUUUGAACAGGAAGGUUGCCCUGUCCGGAUAUGCGGUCCUGGGUGACAAUUCCUUCAUGGUUUCGGAGGCCGGCACAGGUUCGCUCCUUAUGUUCGACCUGCGUUCCGAGAGAUGGAGCGUUGUGCGGCGUGCUUCUGCUUCGUGCCAAACCCAAAUGUUGAACGGGAGAUCUGUGUUUGUUGAUGGUUUCAUCGACACAUGCACAAUGGGGGGCAUUCUCGUGUAUGAGCUGGUUGAUCAGCAAGACGAUGGGGCACUACGGCUAGGAAUGCCCACAAAAUCCACGCAACAAGAGAGGGGGGGCUCUGCUAGAGAGCGGCUGGGAGAUCUUGGGCGCCCGGUCUCUCCUGCCUGCGGCCCCUCGCCACCACCGCCACCUCCGCCACCACCGCCACCUCCACCUCCACCGCCGCCCCCUCACCGCCCCUCUGCGGCCAAGGAGCUCGCGCCGGCCAUCGACCACGCCCGCCGUCCGCGCAACAGCCAUAAGGUCAUCGCCUCCACCCCAGCAAUGGAGCACCAGAUGUUCCUGCUGAACCAGCACGGCGUUGUGGUCACCGCGGUGGGCACCAAGGUGCACGCUGCCAGCCCCCUGUCCAUCGGGAGGGCGUUGGAGAGGGAGCUCAAGAUCCCGUCCCACCUGCUGAGGGUGACUGCCCACGACCCUAAAGACUUCUUCGUCUUCUUCAACCUGCCGGCGCACAAGGACCUGGCGGUGCGGCAUGGCUCGCUCACCGUUGAUGGGGUGACGUUCCUGCUCGAGUCGUGGUGGGAGGACGCCCACGCCGUGCACCAAAAGUGGAUAAUGCACGUCCGGGUGGUCAUUGAGAAGCUGCCCAUGCAGCUCUGGACGCUCGAGGGCGCCGUGGAGGCCAUACGAGAAAGAGUGGCCUCCCCUCCGACGAUGAUGAGGAGGACGACAGGCCGUAACCUCGCAUCGACCCCGGGGUCUGGAACGUGCGCGUCGAGGAUGGGCGGCCCGCAGGCCCCGGUGCCGCUGCUGCGCCCGCCGCCGCGCGUCGCCUCCUCCGGCUGCAGGGGGAUGCCGUCGGGUGGCGCACACAGAGGGCACGACGGAGAUGACCCGGGCCACCACCGGCGCUCAUGGAAGGACAUCUUGCUAGGGAGAGGGCGUAUGGGUGACCAUGGCAAGACGUCCACGACCAGCACCAGGUACCGCAGCCGCACCCCGAUGUCAAGGCACCGCCAAAGUGCGCCUGGGGGCUGGCAGCUCGACGCCGGUGCAAGCAAGCAGCCUGCCCGAGAGCGCGCCCCUGGCAGGUCGAGGGGAAAGAGCGGAGAGGACGCCCGCCCAUCUGCCUCUAGGGGCAAGGAGCCUGCGAAGGAGAAGCAGCAACUACCGGGGCAGGGGGGCGUCUGUGUCCCUUCUGGCCCCACCACGCAAGUUGCACGAGGACGCUGCAUCCUCCUCAACCCUGGCAGACGACCCAGUGGCCGAAUUCUUUGA